UUUUUUUGCAUCAUAGAGAGGAGGGUCUGAUGCAAUCUGUGAAUGAGAAUAAGCCGUUUGCAUUGUAAAUCAUGUAAAAAAGCGACCAGUAGGUGGCAGUGGUGCCUCACGUGAUUGAAAUGCAUGCUUUUACAAAAAGCUCUUUUCUCCGUUUUUUUGCCCAGGAAUCACCAUUUCCAUGAAACUUAGCCAUUUUGUAAUGCCGAUUGCUGAAGAAUGGAAAAAGACAGAAGCAUUUUUUUCUGCUGUAAGAACAGAGUCCAAACUUUAUUUUGGUAGGCUCCAUGUUUAUAUAACAUUAGAACCAAAUAUUCUGUGGGCCUUGCAAGAUCAGUCAAAAUCCAGUAAAACGCUGGGAAUGAGGGGGUUGCUCCAGUGAAAAUGGCUGGAAUUGAAUGAGUUAAAA